rnacentral:lncRNA from 1 species
CAGGCUGGCCUCGAACUCAGAAAUCCGCCUUUAUUGGUAACCUUGGCUUACUGUAUUGCUCUGGAAUUGCUGAACGUGGCCCUCUACAUCACUGUUACCCGAGAGGAGGUCUUGGGGUUAAUCAGCUUCCUGUUUGUGCACAUGGGCUCGCACAUAAACAACCUUCUCCUUUUCUACGGAGUGGGGUGGGGGGGCGCACAAACUAGAAAUUUCUUGUGAGUUUGGUAAACAGACUCCCGGAGAGGAGACAGAAGCAAAGAAUCAAGAACUGUCUUUUCAGAAGUGGAUGCUGGGUAAGAUGGGUGGGGGCAGGGUACUCUCUGCUUCGCUAACUGAAGACUGAGGCUCAGGGAGUGCCCACCCCUGCCUCUCCUCCUCAGCUGACCUCAAACGGGCCUGCCCUAGGCUGGGUACUCAGAGAUAUCAACACUGAGAACCUUCUGCCGGCCUACAGAACGCUCCUCGCAGCAGUGUUCUACAAACAAUCCUGAAGUGACCAAUUCUGCCUGUUAGACCUUUAGGUGUGUUUUACGGCGGGGUUGACACUGGAGAAAGAAGCCGUUUCUAACUACAGGCCAUGAAGUCUGUGUCUGCGGCACAUUGAUCCAAGACGUGAUUCUGUAGCCCUGCAUGCUACUCCGGAGUUCCCAUUCAGAGUCACUGGCUGCAGUACACAAAAGACGUCGCCAAAUGUCAUUUUGCCUCUGGCUGCACCUCAUUACCGUGUGGUAGCUCCUUACGUGCAAACAACCGCUGGUUUCUAGCAUAACAAGGAGACCCGCGGUGUCUGUAUCGAACAUAUUCCUCGGAGAAUGAGAAAUCUCCAACCUGGGAAGAGGAGAUCCUUGUUAAGCGGUGGAGAGAGACUGAGAUGCGCAUGCGCGUCACCUUCCAGCACUGCCUAAUUGCCCAUAAAUGUCAUUAAGUUGAGAAAUGUUUUCCACCAAAUUAGCUCCAACUCAUGAUGUCUAAUUAGCUGGGGAAGCUGAAAGAUAACUUAUCAGCCGGUGUUUGAGAAAACAUGUUUAACGGGUGACUUUGGGCCAGCCGUGAUGUGGAGGCAGUUCCGUAUCCGUGGAAGCCAAGCCUGAGCCCAGCGUAGGACUUGAAUUCCAAGCGAGUGAGUUCCCUGUCACUGUGCCUUGCUCACCGUGAAUACAAUUCAGAGCCGCCAUCGCUGCAGAGCACACUUGUCAAGCUCACCAGCAGAUCUUGCUAUUCAACAUGUCUUCAAAGAAAUACAUACAACUGCUAUCACAAACUUUUUUAAAGAUAUGUUCAUAGCUGUCUUUUAAC